rnacentral:rRNA from 1 species
UACGUAGGUGGCGAGCGUUGUCCGGAUUUACUGGGCGUAAAGGAUGCGUAGGCGGAUAUUUAAGUGAGAUGUGAAAUAUCCGAGCUUAACUUGGGUGCUGCAUUUCAAACUGGAUAUCUAGAGUGUGGGAGAGGAGAAUGGAAUUCCUAGUGUAGCGGUGAAAUGCGUAGAGAUUAGGAAGAACACCAGUGGCGAAGGCGAUUCUCUGGACCAUAACUGACGCUGAGGCAUGAAAGCGUGGGUAGCGAACAGG